rnacentral:rRNA from 1 species
GAUGAACGCUAGCGGCAGGCCUAAUACAUGCAAGUCAAGGGGCCCUUUCGGGGGCACCGGCGGACGGGUGCGCAACGCGUACACAACGUGCCUUUGACCGGGGGACAGCGGCGGGAAACUGCCGGUAAUACCCCAUGGAGCCGCAGGGGGGCGAUUUUCUUGCGGCCAAAGUUAGCGGCGGUCAGAGAUCGGUGUGCGUCCGAUUAGCUUGUUGGCGGGGUAACGGCCCACCAAGGCGACGAUCGGUAGGGGGUGGNGAGAGC